CGUCGGGCUCACCAGCCAGACAGACAGACGGACAAGCGCUCUGCUCCGCCGGCGUUUGGCAGUUACAUCUGAUGAAGAACUGCUUCCUAUCAUACUUUUCAGAUAGUUUUAUCUGGAAUAGAUGGCUUUGUCGCCUUUGGUGCAGGGUAUGCAGUGUGGGAGCUAAGACCCGAUGGAUAUGAUGUCUGUCCAUCUGAAGAGCCCUCAUCACUAGUGAUGUUGGAAUCCCUGAUGGACUUCAUUUGAACUGAACGGAAAAAUCAAGAUGACAAAUAAAUUCCCUUCACAUGGUAUGAGAAUUGGCUGAAUAGUGAAAGCACAGCCAAAUUAAUAACCCCAGAGAUGGAAAACUGCACUGUGAAUUUAACGGUUUUCUGUUCUGUUUAGCUAGCUGAUUUCUCAACAUACGGAUAGCUUUAGACCAACCCAAGCACAUGAAUCCCCUUGCCAAGGCAGAAAUUUGGGGGUGUGGAAGAGAGCCAAAAUUGCUCAGUCAGGACAGGGGAGCAGGAGAUAUGAAGAAAAACUGAACUCAUCAUGAUGAGCAGCCGUAGGCAUCAAGUCAUUAGAGAAGAGCCAUGUACAAAACAUAGAAUGGAGAUCCAGAAGAAAUUAUGCUCAGUGUCCUUCCUGCCUGCACAUGCUACCUGUGCCUCAAGUUCCCCCAGGACACUUGCUGCAAGCUUAAGAUUUGUUUGUUUGUUUAUUUGUUUUUUAAUUUCUACAUCAGCCUUCCUUUUCCCAAAGGCUGAAAAGGUCUUCCAGUCUCUCUGCCCCUGAUCAAAAUAUUGUGUCAUAGGUCUUCCCAGGAGAAAAUGCACCAUUUGUAGAGCUGAGGUACUGCUGCUCUCUUCAAGUGGAAGACAACAGUGGUCCAAAGCUGCCAUUUCUGCACCAACAUCUCUGGUGUAUGAUUUCCACACCCCUCACAAGGCUAACAGGCAAAGGAGGAGGGCAGUCUGCCGAAAGCUCUUCCUGACUGAGCUUCCAGACAUGUAGGCAGCACAUCACCAAACGGAAGGGAGUUUUAUAGGCAUAUUCAAUUUAAAUCACAUAUAUUCGUCUUAAGUGCAGAGGAAAAAGGAAACUUCACUCACAAUACCUGCCUUACCAAUGAAGUUGCCAUAUGUGGAAUUCAGGUUGCAGCUAAGAACUUCUGGGCUUUUUAACAACUGUGAGUAUACAUCAUGGUUGGUUUCAUAAACUAAAAUGAAUACAGUCUUUGACAGCAGAUUAUCUUCCCUGAAUUUUUACUAUGAGCCAAGCUGUCUUUAAAAGUCACUUCUUUCUUUUUUCUGAGUUGCAAUUUGUUUGGUUCUUGAUUCAGCAGGUGCUUUGCUUCAAGACCUUGGUAAGAACCAUUUGAGCAGGGUGGGAAAAUCCUUCCCAAUCCUGAGUUACUUGGAAGCCUGUGAACAUGGGCGAAGGGCUCUGAACCAUGAGAAGGAGGAAAAGAAUGCUCAGGUAGACAUGAAGCUCAUCGGUGGUCAUCUCCCUCCCAUGCCUGUACUCCUCCUUGUGUGUCCCAUCAAUUCACCACAGGGUAAUGUUAGUUAUUCAAGACACUCAAGAAUCCACUCAAACAAACCGAGGGAUUUCCAAGUGUCAUAUUUUCAGAUGUGAAAUGCUCCAUGUCAUGAGCCUUCCCAUAUCCACAAACAUCUACUGCCUCCAGGGCUGCACGGUGAACUGUGUCUAAGGGAAGAGGGGUAUAAUAUGCCUAGAAAGUUUUCUUCUGUUGUAUCAGAUGUAUCUUCACCUUGGUAGUGGAAAGCUAGCUUUAAAAGGUCGGGUCAGCUGGAGGAUCACUUAUAGCUACUUUCUACAUGGCUUGCUUCUAACUGUGAUCCAUCAUGCAUAUCAGACUAAUGGAUUACAGUGCAGCAACUUUAGCUUCAUCUUCCUUUAUCUUGGAAAAUCUGGGUAACAGUAUUAAGUGUAUUUUUCCAUAAAUAAUUUGUAUGAGGAGGCCAACCUUGUAAUUGCAAUGGAAAAUAUUUGUUUUUUGUUAUUUCUCCCAAUCAUGUGUAAAUUCCUCCUGCCUACUUGACUAAGACUGUCACGAAAGAAAAAAUACUUAAAAGGCAAUGUUGAAAAUACUCUGUGAAACACCAGAAGCUUAAAACAAAACAGUAGGGUAGGGAAAGCCAAAGCAAGACAAAGUAAAUUCCAGACAGCCAGCCAAAUUCCACAGAUAAUCAUUAAUCUGGAAAAAAAUCCUUGCAAUUUCUAAGACUAUUGGAAGCGGAUGUUGGUUGCUGCUGGUUUAAACUCUCCAGUGUUUAAAUACUUACUUCUGCAUAAAUAACAUUGCCAUUGCUCAUCUACCACAGCGACAGCAGGAGAGGUGAAUCACGUGCGCUGGUUCGGACACAAACCUCAUCCCGCCCAUGACCUGCCACGAAUGCGAAGUCCGCCGGCUGCAAACCGUGUGCAAACAUCACUCCCAGCUCUAAUUUUCAACAAUUUUCUUUUCAAAAAGCCCUAAUGAGAUGGUGUUUACAGAGCCCUUCUUGUGCGUGUCAGGGGUGCCGGGGAGCCUGGCAGCUGGUGGUGCAGCCCAGCCCCACGGCUCCGGGGUGCGCAGCCAGAUCUGGGCUCCAUCGGGCCAAAAAAACUUUCUUCAGGCCACAUCAAUUAACAAUCCCCUGCAUUUCUAUCUCAAUUCCCUUUCAGGCAACCCAGAUUUUUUGUAGCUUGGUCCUUAAUGCCUGUGCCAUCUUCUCACGUGGCUCUUUACUCCAUUUAUUACAAUGUUGGUGUUCUCAGUGUCUCAAAUUUUUCCAAUAGCUGUUUUUGCCAAGAAAAUAGAAUGAAACCAGAAGGUUUUAUUAUCAGCCCAAGAGCAAUCUAUUGAGGUAACACUGCCUUUACAGACAGACAUUUCUGCUUGGUCUGUCAGUCUCUUUCAUUUCCCCGUCAGAAAAUAAAUGUCUGUGCUAUAAAGAAAGGUUUAAAAUGGGACAGUUGUGAUUCUGGUCUCUUCGGAGUGGACUGUAAUUGUGCUUCUAUAAAUAAAAUAUCAAAAGCUAUUAA